AACUCCGUGCCAGCAGCCGCGGUAAUACGGGGUAUGCAAGCGUUAUCCGGAAUUAUUGGGUGUAAAGCGUCUGUAGGUUGCUUACUUAAGUCAGUUGUUAAAUUUCAGAACUCAAUUUUGAUACCAGCAACUGAAACUAAUAAGCUAGAGUCAAGUAGAGGUAGAAGGAACUCCGAGUGUAGCGGUGAAAUGCGUAGAUAUUCGGAAGAACACCGAUGGCGAAAGCAUUCUGCUGGACUUGUACUGACACUGAGAGACGAAAGCGAGGGGAGAGAAUGGGAUUAGAUACCCCAGUAUUCCUCGCCGUAAACGAUGGAUAUUAGGUAUUAGGUAAAAUUAUUUAGUACUGAAGCUAACGCGUUAAAUAUCCCACCUGGGGAGUAUGCUCGCAAGAGUGAAACUUAAAGGAAUUGACGGGGGCCCGCACAAGCGGUGGAG
rnacentral:rRNA from 1 species